rnacentral:rRNA from 1 species
CUGCCGGUGACAAACCGGAGGAAGGUGGGGAGUGACGUCAAAUCAUCAUGCCCUUUAUGUCCUGGGCUACACACGUACUACAAUGGCCGGUACAGACGGACGCAAAGCCGCGAGGUGGAGCAAAUCCUAAAAAGCCGGUCUCAGUUCGGAUUGCAGGCUGCAAUUCGCCUGCAUGAAGUCGGAAUCGCUAGUAAUCGCAGGUCAGCAUACUGCGGUGAAUACGUUCCCGGGCCUU